CCAUGGGACCUGAGAAGACUUGCCUGGAGUUGUGAUAUGUAGCAUGCUUAAGGAAGACUUAUUUAUUUUAUUUUAUGUGGAUGAGUGCCGUGCUUGCGUGUAUGUCUGUGAACUUUCUGUGUUCCUGGUACCUGUAGAGGUCACAACAGGGCAUUGGAUUCUUUGGAACUGAAAGUAGAGACAGUGUGAGUCACCAUGUGGGUCCUCUGCAAGAACAGCAAAUGCUCUUUUAACUGGUGAUUUAAAACAAAACAAAAAACCAACAAAACCAAUAAUAACAAAAUUACUUUUCUUUGUGUGGCAGAACUCUAGAUAUGCUGAACAUAGGUUCUUGACUCCUUUGGUUUGAGAUUGUGGUUGGUAGAGCCCUAAAUUGUUCAUGUCUUUAAAGAAUUAUUGUUGUGUGAGCUUUCCUUUUCCAACAUAUGGAAAUUAGUAGUUUCUGAGGAUUCUCUAGGAGCAUCUAAAUCUCUAAACAAAUAUGUUAAGAUUGAAAAUUCAAUUGCCCAUUACUCUGUAUUGAAAUGGACACUAUUAUAGGUAGUGGUGAAUAUCAUAUGCCAUACAUAAGGCUUGAAUUAACAAAUAGCACUAGUUAGUAGUAGACCAACUUAAAUAAUUAAGAUGUCAUAGAAAUUUGCAUAGUUAAAAAUGAAAGUCCUUUAUAAUUCUGUCUUGCAGAAAUAACCACUUUUUCAUAUUUUGUUCUAGACUUUUUCAUAUGCAGCUACUCCCAUUUUGUUAUUGCCAUUAUUAACACUAUAAGAGAAUAAUAGGCAAAAGAAUGCUCACUGGAGUAAUUGAGUUAAAGCCUGGAAGCAGCUCAGUGUCGUCUGGGGAGUGAAAUGUGAACCACAUACAGGCCUUCAGUGGGCAGCAGACGUCAGUAGAUCCUUGUGUGCGCUUUCAAUCAUGUGCAAGAGUCAGACUGCCGGGAGCUUGGGGGGGAGCAGUGUGUAAAACACCACAGAGAACACAUGUACACACAUUUAUUUUGAGAAGGUGUUAAAUUUUAAAGAUCUGAAGUGUGUACAUAGAAAUGUGUGAAUACAUUUUAACCCAAGAUAAAGAGUCAACUGCUUCGCCGCCUCCUUGUGCAGAUUCUGAAAGCCUCACAGAGCAUAGAACACUGUGUCAUGUGGUCGUGUGGAAUCUUUCCACUGCCAGCAGUGGGUCCAUGCUCAGACAGAGCAGGAGCUUAGAGCCUACUUGUCAUUCAUUUGACAAGUGAGUAGAAGGAAGCUUUGGGUUGGGUUGGUGUCCUCCCUGGCCUUCAGCAUAGGAUUUGAAUUUUUUUGUCCUUCAUCCCCCAGCUGAUGAUUUUGAAUUUAGUCUAUCCAUACAACAUACAGAAAAAGAAUAUAAGCUAUUGAUUAUGUCCACCAUUUUUAAGGAACUAGAUAAAGCGUUAUCACUUAAAAAAUUGAGAUAUAAUUAACACUUCCAGAAGACUGUGUGUGUCUUUAUAGUGACUUCCUAUGAAACACUUUAUAAUUAUUUAAUUACUUUAGGUUGAUGGAGUGUAUAUAAUUAGUGAAGUUUAAAUAUUAAAAAAAAUCCACAUCAGUUUCAUGAAGAAAAGAAGCAUGUUAUGAUAGCAUUUUUUUUAUAUCUUGAAAUUAUAUUUUCUUUAAUUAAAUUUUAUGUUCACACGGAUUUGGGGGGUGGUCCAAUUCGUGUUUACUUUGCGAACUGUAUUUCAGGAGUUCUUUAUUACCACAUGGUGCAGGCUUUUUCUUUGAGUAAUUCACCAUGCUAGUAUGUGCCUUUCCUUUCAUGAUUUGACUCCCAUGUGCUCUGCUCUGGCCGUGAAAGGGAAAGGGCCGAGGAGAUGAACAAACAGGAAUGUGAGGGCCCCUCCAUGCCUCAGGUGGGAUGGAGUUGGCACCUAGCUGUAACCUGGACAAAUGACUCUUGAUAAGGGGUUCAUUUUCUGUCACCGUUUUAGAGAGCAGAGGGUAGAGCAGCUAUUAUGUUAUUAUUUUUUUCUUUAAAAAUGUUUUGUUUGAAGCUUUCUUUAUAACAACCCUCCAGCUGUCAAAUCUUGGCGAAAAGUGUGUGUUCUAUAUGAUACUUGACUGAAUCAAUAGCUUUCCCCACCUUCUUCCUUUUUUGUUCUUCAUCAGCGAAGAAACUUUAGCACAAGCAUUAAGAAAGCUUUCCGUUCAGUCUUCUAAAAGCGGCAUCUUCGAGUAGCAGUGCAUUUAGGCAUUGGUGUGUCUGUUGCCUAAGUUUGAGUGAAGGCUUAUUGUAAGCUUUUCUUCAGAGUGGUUCUCCAUACUCCUACAUUGUCACCUGCACAAGUCCUGAUGGCCUAGGUUUUUCUUUUUCCUCAAAUGCACACAGAAUUGUCUACCAGUUCUCAAGUGUAUGAGAUCCAAACAAAGAUACACAGACAAGUAAAUUUCAAAUACAUAUGUUUGAGGACAUUGAAAUUAAUUUCCAAAAAGUGAUAUAUUUCUUUGUAGAAUUAUUAUAACUCCACAUACUAGUUCUUAAUUGAUGCAGAGUAUUGAAUGUUCUAAUGACAUGUGCACUGUGUAAUGUUCAGCCAUGUUGCGCCCUGCUCUCUUCUCAAGUGUCCCUAUUUCUGUGUGGUGAAAAUGGUCAACUCUUUAAGUGCAAUCUUUUCCUUGAGCAAAUUUUAAAGCUCAUUCAAAACCAGAGACAAUCCAGGAAUACGCACUUGUAUCUGUGCUCUGCCAGGUCUGAGUGGUGAGGAGAAGCAAGAAAUAGUCAACAGGCUGGUGAACUGUGCAGCAGAGCUGUCUUCUGUCAGGACAGCUUAACUCAUCACCUUAUUUCAGGGAGAUUUCUUUGGACCAAAAGAUCAAAUCUUAACUGUGGUUAACUUGGGAAGCCUGAUAGUUCAAAAAGGAAGACAGAAAAACCACUAGCUAGGGAAAAUUGGAACUGGCUAAGACUGCAGGAGAAAGGAAGCCAUUUCUCAGCAGGAGACACAGAUGAGGGCUCCUUAAAGGGAAGUGGGUGGUAGAAUCUACCUGAGUUGAAGAUGCCGUUGAUUUCAAGAUGUUCUACUGAGAAAAGAAAAUGGCUGCAGAUUAUGAUCCAAUGUUUCAUCUCUUUGAUUUUCUUAUUAAAAUACCUCAUUAAGACUAAUUUUGAAAAAAAAAUUCUUCCUGUAAGCAAAAUAAACUGGUUAAGGUGGUGGUUCUUAACUGGGGGGCAUUUUGGUCUCCAGGGGACAUUUGACAAUGUUUAGAGACAUUUUUGGCUGUCACACCUGUCAAAUCAUAUCUAGUAGAUGGUACCCAAGAUGCUGCUAAAGAUCAUGUAAUUCUUAAGAUGGGCUCUUUGCUACCUUUUGUCCCCGACAAAAAGCAUUUCAUGGCUAAAAUGCCAGUUGUGCCAACAGUGAGGUCCCAGGAUUCAAGCCUCUUUCAGGCCUUUGCACACUGGGCUUCACUCCUUCCAUUCAUUUGCUCAGUCCUGAUGUCCUGGUUUUCCCAUGUAGUAUCAUAUUCAGCAUCCUCAAAACCGUGGCAACAUAGCAUUCCUUAAGGGAUUGCUCCACUGCCACUUCUGGGAGUUUUCCAAGCUGCUGACACCACUUCUGCAAAUUUUGAUGCUCUGUGCAGGCGAUGACACCCGAGGCAGGACUGCCUCUCUGCAGUCAGGAGGUACAUUAGGCAUGUGAGAGUGUGGAAAAAUAUGUGUUGGUAAAAUCAGCCCAUCUGCAGGCCAGACUAUGAGAUCCAUCAGAUUGCAUGGCACCUUGGCAGGCUUGCCCUGCCUUCCUCCCAGAGCAGAUGCCCUUUCUCUGCUGUUCUGACUAGUCAUGGCACACACAUUUAGACAAAGUCAUGUAAGCUGAAGAGAUUUCUAGCCACUCAGAAUUUACCCCCACUUCUUUUAGGUUCUGUUCCUUUGUGCUGGCUUUCCCCAUGAGACAUUUCUUGUUAGUACCAUAGUGACAGCAGAGCUGAGUACAAGUUUUGCAGCAACCUGUGUUAUAUUCUAAUUAAAACCAAAACCAAACAACCACAUCUGAACAUGGACUUUCCAUUCACUGUACUGUGGAUCUGUGGGCACUGGGGUAGUUUUCUGAUCAUGCUUCUAAAUUACAGAUGAUGAGCCUCCAUGCUUAAAUUCUUUUGUCUAAUUUGCAUGAGCUCAUUAAAACAUCUAAUAGAUGCAACAGUCAUUUGGUCUGCUGCUGAGGGUCCACAGGAGCCAGCCUGUUUUUCCUGGGACAGUCUGUUGUGUAUGUAGGCUGAGGUUGGCCAUACUGCUUUGGCAGCUACCGCACACCAAUGUCACAAGGGCACAACACACAAGGACAGGCUACAGUUUGAACACAAUCUUCUAAGAUGUGGUUUACUUCCCCUCGUCCUGCCUCCAAAAGCCAAUCUCUGACAGCAAGAAAAAUGUGACUACUCCUGACCUUUGACCCUUGGCAUUCAAAUUUCACCUCUUUACCUAUAAAGGCAAGUGAAAGUGUUUUGCUUUAAUAACCUUUCUUCAAGAAAUCAGGAAGGAAAAAGGAGUCGGCAUCCAGUUGUGAAGCUAGCUGUCUGUCAACUGAGAGACUCCCUGCCUGCUAUUUUUAAAUGGCUAUCAGUUGAGAUUUGUCCUCAGUUUUAGUAAUUUGGAAAAUUAUAUUAGAUCCAUUGGAGCUUAAUUUAGUUAAAUAAAUUAAUCAUAAAUUUUAUCAGUUGUCUCCUUGAAAGCAUAACAUAGUUCACUUACUUUUCCCAUUGAUAGUGGUAUGGAAGCCAGAAUUGGGACAUGAGACAUUCUUGUAUCUUUUAGUUCAUUGUGAUAGUGAAACUCAUGGUAAUGUUACGUUCUGUCUAAACCCAUUCUGUUUAAUAUGUUCUGACUUUAUUAUCAGAUACAUCCAGCCUUUGGAGGAAAAAGGUGAAAGACAGGGGAGGGAAGAGUUGGCUAGACAAACAGAUUUGUGAGUUAUGGCCAUGUUUAAGCUAUGUAAGUAGUCAUGUACUAAAGUUCUAUCUCUAAAAUCAGAAAAUACUCACAGAUAGUUUUCAAUGGAAUGAAUCACCAGGCCUGGAAAAUACUGACUAGAACUGUCUUUCUGGAAGAGACAGGGCUUGAAUAUAGUUUGUCCCCCAAAGUUCCUGUGUUGGAGACUUGGCUUCUGAUGUUGUAAGGUGGGAGGUGACAGAAGCUUUGAGAGGGACCUAGAAAAAUAUAUGUGCAUAGGCUGUGGACAGCAGGGAGGUACUGCCCCUCACAUCCUGAGAAUAACUAAGGUGGUCUCAUGGGACCCAUGGUGGCUUGCAGCAGUGAGCUGCUGUGAAAUCCAACCAGGCCAGGCUGCUCUCUGUGACCUCACUGUUUCAUGUAUGUUCUUUCUGAGAUGGUGUCAGCAGUAGCUUUAGUGCAAUGAAGUUAAGUUGGGUGCUGUGGCCUUGAAUCUCCAGAACUAUUAGCCAACAUAACAUCUUUUCUUUUUAUUGAUUGAUUGAUUGAUUGAUUGGUCUUUUCGAGACAGGGCAUUUAUUGAUUGAUUGAUUGAUUGAUUGAUUGGUUUUUUCGAGACAGGGUUUCUCUGUAUAGCCCUGGCUGUCCUGGAACUCAUUUUGUAGACCAGGCCGGCCUCGAACUCAGAAAUCUGCCUGCCUCUGCCUUCUGAUUAAAGGAUUAAAGGCGUGCGCCACCAUGCCCGGCAAAGCAUCUUUUCUUAAUAAAGUGGGCUUGCUGCAGAUUAUUUUUUUAAUAUUUGUGAAAAGUUACUAAUAUUAAUGCAUGUGGCUGAGUAUUGCAUAGUUAUAUCUUAUAUUAAAUAAAAGAAAAAUUAAAUUGUAUCUUUAUAAUUUUAUAUUACCCAAUGACUACAAAUUUUUAUUUUAAUUUAGUGUAAUAUUCAUACUCUUUCUGUCAUAUGCAAGUUAUAAGAUUAUAAAAACUACGACUUCAACGUAUAUGCAGUUUAUAGAUAUGUAGUAAGUCAAAGACAAUAAGAAGCUCUGAGGGCUAUUAAUGUUGAGGACUAGUACUUACAAGACCUAUCUAUCAUAAAAAGAGUUUGGCUAUAAACUUAAGCAAUCUGUAGCAAGUAGUUUUUCAUGUCAGUCACGCUGGCAUGGACAAAGAAACAGUUGUUACUAUUCAGAGGCUCAGGGAAGACCUGGGUCAGUGUAGCAGCUGUGUACUGUAUCCCCUGUGUCUGGCCACUUUGAGCAUGUGGCUGAUUUGUUAGACAUGGAGCCCUCUUUGUGCACAAUGCCAGACCCUCCUGGGCAUAGAGGCUGCUCCUGUAGAUCACUGCUCUGCUUAGUCUCAUUGUUACCUGGUUCUUUUUUCCCUGCAUUGCUGUACUUUUAUCCUGACACAUUUCCACUCUGCUUCAAGGUAGGUACUGCUUUCCAAGUGCCGGGGACGGUCCUGUCCCAGUGUCAGGUAGUCUGCUAGGACUCCCACAGAUUGCUCAUGUUCUAGCUGUUGGGAUCUUGGCCAGUUGCCGCUGCCAUCUUUUCUCCUCAGCGACACUUGUUUUUAACAGACAGUUGCCUUUCCACAGUUACAGUUGGGUAGAUAGUCCACUCUUGAGCCUUGUGCAUAGCUCUUCCUUCUUUCCAGACUCAGUUUCUCUUCUGUUGCUGCUCUGCUGCUCAGGAACCCUACUCUGAGUCCCAUUUCAGAAGCUGUUUCAUAAGGCAAGAAUCUCGAAGCCAGAAAACCAAAGCCAAUCAAGCAUGCCAUCACAAUCUGUAACUUUUUUACUUGUAAUUGCAGCCGUGAUGUUCAGCCACGUAUUAUUCAGAUGUUUCUCUUGACAGUAAUUACAGCAUUUUCUCUCAUGUAGCAUAGUGCUUGAAGUAAUUUUUGCUGAAACUGGUUUCUCAGUGGGAAUGUCUGGGAAAUCAUCUGUGUUCUGUUGUCGUUCAUGUUGAAGCGUCUCCAUUAUCUGGAACAGCCCAGCUUUUCUUUCUUUGGUGGGAGAGGGAGUAGUAAGGUACUCUACUUCUUACUCUGUUAAUGGUUAUCCAAAGCAUCGUUAUCCAGAGCCGGGUGAGAACUGGACUUCAGACAGUGUACUCAGUUCACUGCUGAGGUGAUGGUCGCCCAUUGGUUCUUGUCAGCAUUUAAAAACAUACUCAGAGGAAAUCCAGUGUGCAGGCGAUGCAGGCGAUGCAGGCGAUGCAGGCGAUGCAGGCGAUGCAGGCGAUGAUGCAGGCGAUGCAGGCGAUGCAGGCGAUGCAGGCGAUGAUGCAGGCGAUGCAGGCGAUGCAGGCGAUGAUGCAGGCGAUGCAGGCGAUGCAGGCGAUGCAGGCGACGCAGGCGAUGCAGGCGAUGCAGGCCGGCUGGAGCUAGUGGGGUGACUUUGUCUACUCAGCUCUUCGUAGGACAGAAUGAGGCUCCUUCAUCUUUGCAGGCUUGGUGUUUUGUUCAGGAAACACAUUUACAAUACGAAGAACAAAUAUGUUCCUAUCCAAAGAGCUUUCGCUCAUCCCUCGUUAGUUUUAGAAGGUGGUUGAGCUGUGACCAGUUUCUUUAAGUCUAGAAGUCCGUCUUUGCAGGCAGUAGUCCACAUAAGCUGGGCCUAGCCCUGCUGAUUGAUCUCAGUUCUGGGCCAUCUGCUGGGCCUGCUGGUGAUACUGGGUUAGAAGUGUCAAAAAGCUUGACAUCUUUGACUGUUUUACUCUGGAGGGAUGGUCUGAGUGGGCCACUGCUUCCACCUUUCCUCUCCUGAUCUUUUGGGGUUUUUUUUUUUUUUUUGUGAGCUGAGCUCUGAAUGGAAAAGGAGUUCAGGUGACUUAGCUGUAAGUCACAUGCCAAUUUCAUCUAACCUUAGGCUUACAUUUCUAAACACUGGCUUUUAUCCCCCAGUUGAAGUAGUGUCUGUUUCCCUCAUCUCAGCCCUGUCUAGACUGUAAGUCACUAUUCUAUGCUGGGUUGUGUCGAUUCCUUUAGUAAGGGUGGCAAUUUGAAUUUCUUGUUAGUUCUUUAACUUAAUAUUGUGACUGCUUUCUAAAUAGCCUAGUGGAGAAUAUGCUGAAGGAGCCAGUCCCCUGCUUUGUGAGCUUGAGAGACCAGGACGUACUUCCGGUCAGUGAGGUGCUCACAUACACCCGGUAGUGUUCUGUGUGUGGAGCAACUCAGGUGCCUGUGUGUGUGGAGGGGAGGGGCCACUUCUCCUCAGGAGGCGGGGCUGUGUGAUGCUUAUUUCCACCAGCAGUAGCCAAUCUCAUGAGAGCAGAAAUCUCCUCUUGCAUUUAUUUCUCCUCUAUAUUCAUUCUUAGACUUUGGGGAGAACACCCCCUCCCACAAAAAAAAAAAAAAAAAAAAAAAAAAGCCCCAGGAAUUAAGGAAAAGGCCCAAUGGCUUGCUGCUUUGUGUUGGUUGAUGCUUGCUGUGUGGACUCAGACUUAUGGUGCUCGCCUCUACUGUGUGCUUGCUCUUCAUGUCAAGGCUGUCACAGCCAGUUCACAAACUUAGUUUGUUAAUCACUUAGAAAGUUAGCUGCUGGGCCAGUUUGCCUUUGAAAUGAGAAUAUUGAAUCCCUCCAUCGAAGUAUGUGUAGCUUCCACGAGAGCAAUUUAUUAGUUAUUCACUAUUUACAGUUGCUUCCUUCUACAGGAACUAUCUAGAGCCUCCAGGCUUCAGCUAUUUCAUUUGGAGAGGUUUUCAAUUUGCCUCAUUAAAAUGGUUUUAGUGUGAUUUUAGUGUCAAGUAUCAAGUAGAAAAAUGAAAGUUGGCCAUGUAAAUAUUUCAACUAACAAUUUAAAAUCAGGUUCCAACAUGAAUUCUCAAAUCAUAUCGUUUAGCGUUCCCAUUGCCUAUCUCCCAUUUGUGAAAGCUGAUUCUAUCAAAACAAAAGUCUCUUAAAAACCAAGAAUUUACAUUUCAUCGUCUCCCUGGUGGGGUUGAUGGAUUAAAACCAAACCACAUCAAAACAAUACCAAAAAAAAAAAAAUCACUGAAACCACCAAUUUAAUGUGAGAAAUGUCUACUAAUUAAAAAACCAUUAUCUAACUGAGUUUCUGUGACUCUUUUAUUAUUUCUACAGAACCAAAUUGCUUUGACUAAGAAAGGUCAUUUCUCAAAGUACUGAAAACAUAGAUAAUAUUGGUUUGUAGAAAAAUUACCAAAGAAAUAUGCCUCAUCUUCACUGCCUUGUUCUUCUCCCAUAAAACCACUCAUAAGUCUUAUCCCAGGGGUGAUGUAGUCUUGUGUUUAAAGGUAACAAGUGUGACUUUAUAUAGCUAGCUAUUUUUCCUAUUCAGUCUCUAGAGAUCUCAAGUAGACUUUAAUUUGGAUAAUAAAAACUGUUUAAGAAUAGGUUCCCAUACAGGCAUGGCAGUUGAUACCUGCCUGUAGUCUUAGUACUAGAGGCAUGAGGACUACAAAUUCAAGGCUAGAUCGUACCCAGUGAGAUUGCAUUUCUGAACAGACAGGCAAGCAAGACACUCACUUGUGUGGAUUAGUACUCAUAGUUUGAGACACUGCUUAUCCAAACAUUUUGUAUGCACCUGUUGAUGGCUUUGUCCUUGUAUUCCUGUAGGCUGCUUCUGACUUGCUGGUCUCCUCACUUUGCGGAUGAAAUGGCUAAAGCAUAGAGUCCACUUGCUCAAUAGUCCAAGUUGCCAGAAGGGGUAAGAGUUGGGCUGUAGCCCACCCUUCCUCCCCUGGGCUGCAUUGUAGGUGCUGGGUUGACUUCUGGUCCCACAGCAGAGCUUCCUUUGAUGUUUCUGUUUGCAUGUUCCACCUGUGGGCUACCUUCGAGGAUGUUUUAUACUGCACUGUGCAGGAUUUAGCAUGGUCAGUUCUGCUGAUUAUGAAGCUCAAGAACUAAGAGUUUAGUUCUAAAAGAUUUGUAAAGAGGAGGACUUUUUCAGUGUUUUUGUUUUUUAAUUCACAUGACUAUAUUUUGAAAUGAAACUGUCAAAAUACUGUCAUAGUGGGUAAAGAUUAAUAUUUCUGUAGAUUUUCUUGGAAAUUGUGCAUUUCUUUAUAAAUAUAUCUGUCAACUGUGCAAAUCUGUUUUUAUAGAAUUAAAGAAGCCCUUAUCCAAGUGAGUCUUGGAAAGGUCUUUCUUCUAGCUGAUGAAAAUAUGAAUAAUGUUAGUUUAACAAAAUUAUUUAACUAAUUAUUCUUGAUUCCUUUUUCCUGCUUUAUGUCCUUGCAUCUUCUUUCUGAUUAACGGAGCCCGGAACUGUUGUGCCUUCCGGUACAUGACAGUCUAUCUACCACUCACCAUUUUCAUCCUGCCUGGUUCUUACUGUGUGGGGAUCUCCUCUCUUUCCUCAUGGGACUUUGAAGUUGCUACAGCCUACCAUAGAGCGGUAGAGGGUAGCCAUGUUGCUUUUACACACACAACUGCUUUUCAUCAAGACCUGUCCUCACGAGGGCAGCUAGCGUUAGUGCUCGGGUGGAGAAGUGCUGCUUCAUUGCCAUUUCUUACUUUCAUGGUCACUUUAGGGAGCCGAUGGGCCUGGCUUCUCCUCUUUCCUCCCUUCUCCAGUCCUCCCCUCCCACUCCUUCCCUUUCUUCUCUCUCUUUCUCUGCAAAGUAGUUUUUAAAAUGUAGUUUUAAUCUUGUUUGUGUCUUUGAUUAAAACAUUUCUAAUGGCUUUUAAUUAGCAUCUGCCUCAAGUCCGAGCCCUUUCCUUUGGUGUUUUGGCUUAGCCUGACUUUAUCCAGUGCUUCUCUGCCCUCUCCUUGAACACUCUAGUCACAUCUGAUGCUGGGCUUGUGUGUGCCCACAGCUCAGUGCUCAGAGUACUUAGGUCCCAUGUUUUGCAUGGUGGGUUCCCUCUUACUCUCAGCUGCAUAGAGAGGCUUGAGUCAUCGCUGUCUGAAGUACUCCGUCUCAGCAGCUUGUCUUGCUGCCCUCCUCCUUAGGCUCCCUCAUUUUUGCUUUAUGUUUCUUUGCAUUACUGUGUCUGUUUAUUGUGUAUGUGGGCAAAACUCAUCAUCUGUCAUUUGGUAGAUAUCCAAAAAUAUUUGCCAGAUUAUAAUGAUACUUGCUAUGGCUAACUUUGCUGCUUCUUCUAAGCUGGCUGGCCUGUAAGCUCUGGGCUCACAGACUGUGCAUGGCUCUUAGGUAGGUACUGGGAAUCUGAAGUCAGGCCUUCAUACUUGACAGCAAUGGCAAGUACUUCAUGUACAGAACAUUUUCCAGCUUGUUUUGUUUUGUUCUUCUAGAAAACACUUUGUAAAAGUGAAAACCUAACAGAAUGAGAGUAUCUUCCCCCUUCCCCCUUUUUGACUUAAAUUUGGCCUCAAGCCUAUUUAAACUCUGUAACUCUGUAAAACAUACAGUGUAUUAUGUGCAAGACUGUAUCGAAGCAUGCAUUCUGCAAGGUUGUGAACCAUCUCAAGUUGGGACAGUGUCAGGAACUGUCUUUUUUAGCUGGGCACAUAGUUGUAGUUUCUCCCUGUGGGCCAGCUCUCCCUCUGCACUGUGGCUUUCCAGGUCGAGAGGAACUUGAGUUUGUAUUGCAGAUCUCUGCAUUUUUGGCUGCUUUGCUGAAAGUUUUUGCUGCAACUUGGAAGAUGGUGUCUUUCUUCAUCACCCUGCUCUCCUCAACCUCUCUGGCUUCUGGAAUCUGUCGCUCCAAGGCUCCAGGGAAGGCUGUACCUACCCACCAUGGCCCUGUGGUACAUAAUAGCUGUGCUGUGUAUGCUCCAUGCCCUUUAGUAUGUCCCCAGCUCUGUGCCAUUAAGUCCCCUGGUCAUGUCUGUGGGAGGGAGCUGAUUUUGUUUUCUUUUUCUUUUCAUUUCCCAGUAGCUUGUCACAGGAGUGACUCACACCCAGCAAACUCAGCCUUAGAUAGCUUUCUGCAGACAGGAACAACAAAUUCACCAGUCAGGGAACAAAGUGAAAGAAAAAUGAAGAACAAUAUUAGAAAAGAACCCUUUGGGAAGCUGAACAAAAAAUGUUAUAUUAAAAUCAAUACUGGGGCCUGACCUUUUGUGGUACUGUAUAUUUUAAAGCCUCCUAUUGAUUCUCUUUUAAUAACAUGUUUAUUCUACUUUACUGACACAAGCCUAGAGAGACUAUAAACGGGGAAGAUCAUAUUCUUUAUUAUGGUGGCCAUUUAAAUUUCUCUCUGGCAUUAUUUGAUUGUUCCAUGGAAUUACGUGCAUAUAUUUAACAUAUUCUGAUUUUUGAAAGACUCAGAGGCUGUGAAGCACUUUUCCUUUUGUUAAAAGUACCCUCAUCACUGCAGUGACAGAUGUGUAUAGAACCCUCCGUACCAACUAGGAAUAUUCUUUUAGCUUUUGCGUGCGUUUAAAAGACUGAAACAACUCAUUUUGCUUGAAUUGAACCCCUAUCUCCCAAAUCUAUUGAUUCGCACCCCCCCCCCCACCUCAGGCCCCGUACAUUUGGUGACAGUUGUAUGCAUAGAGACAGUUGUCAUUUUGUUUUGUUUUGUUUGUUUGUUUGUUUUUUCUCUGUGUGCCCUGGGUGUCUUGGGACUUAAUCUAUGAACCAGGUUGGCCUUGAACUCAUAGAGAUCAGCCUAUGUUUACCUCGAGUGCUAGGAUUAAAUGGGUGUGCCACCACCACCUGGCAAGACAGCUGCCACUUACUGUAUGGCUGGUGGCAAAAUGUCAAAGGAUGUGAAAUCUCCUUAGAGAUUUGUGUUUUCUUUUGAUCCUUCACACAUUGUUUUCAUGGUAUGGAGUGCUCCACCCAGGCAGGCGGCUCUCCGGGAGGUUAUCUAGGCUUCUAGUUUGUGAUCUUCCUUCUAUUUUUUCCUAUUAGGAAAACAAACAAUCUAAACAACAGGUAUUAAUUUUCUUCCCUCUUUGGAAUGAUUGCUUUUCCACAUACAGAUUCUGAGUCCCACCCAGCACAGCAGCAAGGACUCACUCCUGGAGAGGUUCUCUGGCCAAUGGCACAUUAAAGGGGAUUGACUUAGCCUGUGGAACAUCAUGUUAAUAGGCUUAGAGAAAAGGAGGAUGUUUGGAUCUGACUCCUAGAUUUAAUGCAACAGCCCUGUUUGUGGCAUCUCUGAUACAGGCUGAGAAACCAGAUAGCAGUUCCAGGAAGGCAGUAACGGAGCAGAGGCCUUUUGGAAAGUACAAGUAAAUGGGUCAAGAAGCUAAAGCUAACUCAAAAGGUUAGCGUUCAUGAAUUAUAACACGGGGUCCUGAAGAGGUUCAGCCAUGUAGCAAGGAACCCCCAGGAGAUCCAGAGAGCAGCAGAUCUCCCUAUGCCCUCCAGCUCCUUUCAGGAGGACCCUAGCUAGCAUCAGUAGCAGCCUUUGUGUUCCUGUAACCUUUCUUCCCACUGCACAGCCUUAGGCAUUGCUUCCUUAGUCCAACCCUGCUUUGCUAGGGUAACAAGAAGUAAGAAUCCUAAAGGUUAAAGCUCAAACAAAACCAAGAGUUCCAACUGUUCACCAUCCAGCUUAGUGGUCAGAUUAUCUGACCCCUGGGUUGUGAUGUGAACUCAGGUGAACACCAAGAAUAAGAAGACAGUAUCUACAGACCCUGGAGGAGUUGGUGGCUCUUCUGCAGUCUGCUUUUACAUGUUCCCUUGUCUAGAUCUGCCAUGAAAUCUUGACUGUGGCUCUGUCUGCUCAGUUGUUCUAUCUCCCUAGCACCCAGUAAUAUCUAUAAAUAAUACUGAAAGUUAUAGAGCACAUCAUGGGGAUGAGUUCUUUUAUCUAAUUGCAAAAAUAGUGCACACCAUAUAAAAUAUCUGAGAAUCCUAGCUAAAGAAAACACAAAUCUCUUAUAAUACCACUGUUUACACAAACUUCUAUAACCAUUUGGCAUACAGGCCUCUGUGUACAGUGGAAAAGUCACUGACGUUGUAAAUCAUCACUUUAUGAGGUGAUCUUAAGAUAGAUCAUUAACGUGUUGUCAGUACACAACUUGGUGACAGUUCACUUUUAGAUGUUCAGGCUUCUAAGUAAGUGGCUCACAGUGUUUCACUAUCUUAAUAUAUGUGCCAUAUAUUACCAUUAAAUUUGUACAUACAUCCAAGGAGACCUGUGUCUAGCUGGCAAGAGAAGUAAGUAGGUAAUAAUAGGUGUGACACCAUAUAUGGCUGGUAAGGUUCCAUUUGUGUCAGAGUGAGCUUGGUAUUUUAAAUGUCACCUCAAUAGAUCUGGCCUGAUGUAAGGUAGUUAACUGAUCAACACCAUGCAUACCCUGUCUGCAGAUUUGUGAUUCUUCAUUAUGAACAAGUACCAGAGAAGAAAUAAGUCAGUCUGAGAAGUUAGCUGAGGACAUGUGAAAAUACUUGCAGCAAGUGUGAAAACAGUUUGGAUCCUCUGUACCCAUGGUAACUCUGGACAGGAAGAGCAGUGAACCUGUAAGUCCAUUGCUUAUGAAGCUCAGAUGGGGGUUCCCCUAGAGCAAACUGGCUGGGCAACUAGCCUAUGGUGAGCUCUAAGCUCAAUUGAAUGACCCUGCAUCAAUAAAUAAGGUGUAGACUGAUCAAGGAAAACAUCUGAUUUCAAAUUUGGUUCCAAUGUGCAUGUAUACACAUGAACACUUACAGAUACCUUCAUGUAUGUGCAAUUGUGUAAGAUACAAGUCUCAGAAAUGUAUACCCAUACAUAGUUGAGUGCCCCCUUAACCUAUGUAUACCAUUCAGAUAUUCAUGAGAAGAAAAAAAUUACAUAGUUUAGACUUUUGUCUGUUUUUUGUUUCUUGAUUUCCUACAUUGACUUGAUUUUUAAGUUUUUUUUUUUUUUUUUUUUUUUUUUUGUAAAUAGCAUAGUUCUUUUAAACAGUGUCUGUUGUAUUAUCUGGUAAAUAAAAUAAAUAUUUCUGCUGGGCGUUGUGGUGCACACCUUUAAUCCCAGCACUCAGGAGGCAGAGGCAGGAGGAUUUCUGAGUUCGAGGCCAGCCUGGUCUACAAAGUGAGUUCCAGGACUGCCUUCAGCUCUUAGGUUGUGUUCCUUUUGCUUUAUCACCCCCUUGUAGCAAGGAUUCUAGGCUCCUGUCAUGACCCCGGUCGUGGACUGUGGCUCAUUCCAAACUGAUAGCUACUGCACACACAAGUCCUGUUCCUUGUCCAUGGUCAUCUGAAGUGAGGGUGAGCCUGGAGAGGCUGCAUUCCUCACCCUUCCACUGCAGGGAUGCCCAGUGCUGCAGACACAGAAAUGUGUCAGAGACUUUUCCCUUUUCCUUUUAAUAGUAACAACAACAACAACAACAACAACAACAACAACAACAAUCCCCAAAGCAAAUCCAACCCAGACCUGGGAAUCAGAAGAAACAUGGGUUCUAGGUUUGUCUUCUCUACUUAAUAACUGAGCAUUGAUGGACCAGUUCUUAAGCUUAAUGUUCUCAUAUUUAAAAAUGGAAUCAGAUAUUAGGGCACUACUUUUUUCUUAUCAAGUAUUGUAUUCAAAUUUCAUCAGACAUACAUUUAAAUAAACCAUUUUUAGUAUCAGAGAAUAAUGAUUACUCUUACCAUAGCUAGUUCUACCAAAACUGUUACAAACACUCAUUAUGAAGUGUGAAGUUUGAUAUCCAUGUUAAAACUCACCCUUUGCAGUUUGCCCCAUCAUGGAAAACAGAGUUCAUGUUCGUUCAUGUUAUACUUAGCCAAGAUAAAAAGCCUUUAUUUGAAAGUUUUCUUCCUUGCGGUGUUAGGUCUGUCCUUCCUCCCUCUCUCCAGCAAGCCCUGCCGAGUGCACAAGAACCACAGCUUACUUGUUUGGGUAUCUGAACUCCUGUCUUCAUACUAUGCAGCAAGGCACUUCCACUGGGACAUCUCUUCAGCCCAGGUUACAUUGCUCUUAAGUUUUCUUUUGGCCCAGGUGUAGAAUCAUAUUGCUCUUUCCAGUCACCUGUCCUUUUCAAAUGCCACUGUUUUAUGUCUUGUUCCUUACUUAAAAACUACUCAGUUUUUGAAAUUAUAAUAACAUCACUUGCCCUUUCUCCUUUUUCCCUCCAAACCUUCCCGUUUAGCCUGCCUCGCUCUUUCAAAUUCAUAGCUUCUGUUUUCAUUAAUUGUAGUUAUAUGCAUACGUGUACAUGUUUAAGGAAUCUUUCAGGAUUCUUAGAGUGGACCUUCUAAUAGUCCCCAUGAUGAUACCAUCAGUUUUAUAAAAGGUUCAGGUUAAAUUGACUUAUAAAAAUCAUGCCAUAUGUUCCUGUUCAGUGUAGGGUAACUCUGCUCAGCCUGUGUUUAUCUCAGCGGGUAUAUUUGUAGUAGUAAAAUAGGUGAGCUAGAGAGCUGACAGUCAAAGGUAGCAGAUGACUCUAAGAGCAUUAGCUAAAGCAUUAAACCUCAGCAGGGUGAGGACACAAGGCUAUGUAAAUUUGAACCUGACAACUAUAAAUUAGGGUACAGAAAACAAUAAAACCUGUCUUUACAGACUUACGGUGCCUUUUCACUGUCAAACAGAAGGGACAGUGGCAGGAUUAGCUUCAGCUUUCACAUUUUGAAUUUUACGUGUCUCACAGGGAAAGCCUCAGUUGGGAUACUUGCUAUUCCUAACUGCUUUUAAAAUCUAGGCAUUUGUCUUAUGUUCUCAUGGGGAUGACCCAAACUCAGAGAGGUUAAUUUGCCAUGGGAAGACCAUUUUUAAAGCAAAUAGGUCUCUAGCUAUUUUAAGAGUAUGUUUGCCAACUGUGCACUUUGUUAGCCCAGUGAACAUGCGUCGUAAGGGAAUUUUUAAGAAUAGUAGGAAUCCAUUUGGUAUUGGAUAACCAGUUGGUGUGCUUUUCCCUGGGGAAGACUAUUUCUCCCAGUCUCAGCAUUUCUGAGUUGCUUGUGGUUCUUUGGUAGGGCUGAGGUCUCAGCAUGUGUAUUGCUGUCCCUACUCGUCUUAUGUUUAGGCAGUCCUGUUGGGGAGACGUUAUGAGUAUAGCUCUUGACAUUCAUAGAUUAAUGAAAAACAGAAAGAGGCCUUGAGUUUGAAAGAGUACAAGGAGGUAUAUGUAUGGGAGGGUUUGGAGGGCAGAAAGGGAAGAGGGAAAUAGUAUAGUUAUAAUCUCAAAAAAAAAAACAAAAUAAAUAAUUAAAAAAGAUUAGUGGGAAUAUUUUUUAAAACUAAUUAAUUUAUUUUUUUAUUUACAUCCUGACUACAGUUUCCCCUCCCUCCUUUCCUGCAGUCCUUCCCCUAAUGGGAGUCUUUUGCAAAUUGGCCUGCACAGUGUCAGAAACAUUUAGCUUACUCUGGGUAAAUCAUAAUGAUAUAUUUAACUUACAUACAUACCCGUAUAUCUUAACUUUCUUGUUGCAUUUAGUUUUAGGUGAGAUAUUCAGGUUGACCUCAUUGGUCUUGCUCUACCCCAUUUCCUUGCCAAAAUACUGCACCUCCUGGCAGCUCACAGGCCUGCCUCCUUUUCAGUAGCAUGGGCAUUUCAUUUCAUCCUGGAGACUCAUGAGUGUACCCUUGCUCAUCUUUAUUCUUGCUCAGCCCCUACUUAGAGGAGUGGAGAGGUAAUGUCACUGCAGCACUGGCUGCUGAAGGGAAUGUACAUGAGGAGGCUACAGGAGGCAGCCAUUGCUGUGUGACAGUAAAGGGUUCUGUAGCUUGAAAGGAAAAAGAAUUGGUAAACGUGUCUAUGUAAAUUACGCCCCCAUUCUGGGUUAAUUCUAUUAAGUCAAGUAGAGAUGAGUUAGACGUUGAGCAGAGUUGAAGCAGCAUGUUGGGAUGUUUUAAGGGAGUGGGUUUUGGUGGUGUCUAGCUUUCUUCCAUUUGUCUGUCUAUGGAGAACACUCUUUGCUCAUUGUAUGCUCUACAAAUGAGAUUAGUUUUGGCACUGGGAAAGCCAAAUUAUCAUGGAUUUCUACAAUUACAAUCUUAUCAGAUUCACCAAAAUUGGGGAAAGGAAGCUCGGAGCCAAAGCCAGGGUCUUAGUGUUGGAGAGAUCUGCUUUGUGUGCUAGCUCAGUGUGUCAGUCCUGUAAAUCUUGAGUGGGUGACUCACUGCUGCCUUGGUUUCCUCAGGGGAAGAGCUUGUUUUCACAGGCAGAGUGCUGAUGGUUACCGAGUCUUUUCUUUCUGAAUGAAGAACAUUUGGAUAUGACUGUCCAGUGUUUCUGGGGCUGGGGCUCCAGCUUUGCACGGGUUACUAAUUGUGAGAUCAUGUAGCAGAUUCCUUGCCGCGUGAGGGAGUGAGCAGGAUAGUAAUGCUCAGCUAGAGGUUCUCUUCAAGGUUGUAUUAAAGGUCGGCUGUGCCGGCUUUCCCUGAUCGUUCAUUCGGAGAACCGUCUCCUAGCUGUACAGCUUGUGUAUUUACUCUGCGUCUGCCCUCAGUUCCUCAGGGCUGUGGAGGUUUCUGUGGAUGGAAUGCCUGUUCUGCAAGCUCAGUGACGCUAGUUGAUUUCCUUUGUCCUUAGCUGCACCCAUUUCUAAUUCUAAAAGUACCAAUAGGAGAAGUAAGAUGUGGCUCUUUUUUUUUUUCCUUAGCAUCAUUUAUAACUCAUUAAAACUUAACUUAGCCUUUCGUUGGACAGUUAUUCCUAUUUAUCCAAAAAACUUUAAAUUUGGUGUUGGUGCUAAAUUGUUGAUUAUCGUGCAUUUCCAUUCUUGGCUUUGCUUGCUCGGAAAAUGAUUUUCAGCAGGUUGUCUAGCCUCUGCAGGUCUCAGGAUCUGUGCUGCUGCAGUGUGCUGCUGUAUGGAGAGGCACUGCCAGUGUGUCUGGCAGUUUACUAUAUGGUUUUCUAAAGGAGAUAGAGGUGGGUAGCAGAACUUGCCCACUCUGCUGGUGUAGGUUCUGAGAUGAAGACAGUACUGCAGAGCACACAAAUAAUUAAGCUUGAGGAUGAAAUCCUAGCACUUAAGAGGUAGAGGCAGAGGAUUAGUAAGUAGCUCAGGAUUUUCCUCUACUACAUAGUGAGCUGGAAGCUAGUUUGAGCUUCAUGAGUCCCUGCCUGCAUCGUCACUACCAUUUUUUAUGUGCAUAAGGUAAAUAGGAUGCAAGGGUUGAGUCCAUCAAAGAGCAAGCUAAAUAGGGGGCUCUACAGAGAUUUCUGGUGAACAAAAUGCUGUCUGAAGCUACAUAUUUAUUAUUUUUCUGUUUUUAUUGUUUUGAGAAUUUCGUAUCUGAGUACCGUACUUACAUUAUUUCUCCCCCUUUAAUAUCUCCAGUGUCUUCUUCAUGGCCCAUUUUCCUUUAGUUCUCUCUCUCUCUCUCUCUCUCUCUCUCUCUCUCUCUCUCUCUCUGUCUCUCUCUCUGUCUGUGUCUGUCUGUCUGUCUGUCUGUCUCUCUGUGUGUAGGAGCUUGUUACUGGGAAGACUGAUUUUCCUUCUCUCAGCAGUCAUUGCCUGUAAGUCUUUCUCUGGGGGUGGGGGUGGGGUGGGAGUCGGGGUGCGUGGAGCCUUGUGAGCUUUCCUGCAUCAUAUUGUCCUGUCAACUGGUGUGCUCAUUGUUCAGGCCUUUUCUAGGCAGCCAUAUUGUUGGGGUUUCACAGGGGCAGCUUCCUUUUCUCAUGUAGAAGAUACGAUCUUGCUGCAGAUGCUCUGGUCCUAUGGUUUUUAAAAUCUUUCCUUCUCCUUUUCCUCCUGAGCCUUAGGUGUAGGGGUUGUUUUGUAGAUGUAUCAGUUGGGACUGGACUUCGCAUGAUCUGUUUACUCUACAGUUUGACCAAGUUGGCUUUCUGUAAUGGUCUGUGUCUGCUGCCAAAAGAAUCUUUUCUCAUAAGGCGUGAGAGCUGCACUGCCUUGUGGGUAGAGUGCUGUUAGACCGUAGGCUGCUUUGGUAAUGUGGCCAUGGUCCGUUCUCCUCUACGUUCUAUGACUUCACCAACUGUAGGGGGUUGGGGGCUGUUCCCUUGGUAGCUUGCGUAACACCUUUCAGUAUUAUGAACGUUAGUCCUCAGGGAGAAGGCUUCCAGGUCAUGUCCAUCUCUGUUCCUCCGCGGCCUGUGCUUGGGAUGUAAGAUGUCUUCAGCAACAGGGAUUUACCUUUAGAUUCUGGGAGGCAGCCGAGGGUAGCAGCAGUAGCCUGUCUUGUUUUAGGAGACUCUUGACUGUCCUGAUCAAUACCUUGAAUGGAGGUUCUCAUGCCUGGGGGUUAUUGGAUAGUCUAUUGCACUUCAGAGUCAUUACCACCUCAAUCUCAAGCAGAAUAGCGCUCUCUCUCUCUCUCUCUCUCUCUCUCUCCCUCCCUCCCUCCCUCCCUCCCUCCUUUUUAUCUCCCCCCCUCCCUCCUUCUUAUCUCCCCCCCCUCCACCAUGUAAUUUUUUUUUUGUUAGAACACCAUGACUCCCUGUGGCUUUUUCAAACACCUCAGUGUCAUCUGUCUUCCCUCCUUUCCUUUCUCUCCCCUCCCCAGUUAAAGCCCCUUCCAGUGUUCUAUUCUCCCUUCUUUGCAGUAGUGUCUGGCCAUUUUCCUCCCUAGAGACACUUUAACCCCUUCUUGGGGUCCCAUUUUCCUUUCCUGUUUCUGUGGUGAUUCCUGGUUCUAAACUCACUUCUGAAGAUCCCAAGCUAGGAACCACAGCUACAAGAGGACACAUGGCAUUUGUCUUCCCGAUAAAUGCUGGUACGUGGCGGUACCUCACCCAGCACAGUAUUUUCUAGUUCCAUCCAUGUACCUGUAAUUUCAUGAUUUAAUUUUUCUAAACUUUUAAUAAAGAUCUUAUAAUAAGCAACUGUAAUGAAUGUGGUAAAAACUGAUGAGUGCUUCAUGAAGUGUAAGGAAGAAAAAUUUCUAACAUAUACCCAGGACUAUGAUUGACGUUCAGUCUUGCCAUGUGCUGGCAGUGCCUCACGAUUUUACUAAGACUUGCUUGAAAGCAGUAUUCUAACUUAAGGUGUCUGUAAGUAUAGCUCAAUGAGUUUCAGUUAUGGCAUAAAAAUAUUUUAAAAUCUGUAAUAGUUUAUUACAUUGAUCAUAUGUUGAAAUGACAAUAUAUUUUCUAAAUUAGGCUAAAGGAUACAUUAGAAAUGAAUUCCAAUAGAUUCUUUUUAUUUUUCUAAUCUUCUUUUAGAUGUGGAAAAUUGCAUGUGUAGUUUGCAUUUUAUUCCUAUUAGUACUACCCUUAUAUGUUGAACUUAAAAUGCAAGUUAAUUUCAUAAAAAUAAUACCACAGAAACAAAAUAGCUUUUGUGUAGUACCUCUUUCUAUUUCCUAGUGAUAACUGUAGUUAGUUUUCUGUGUCUUCCAGCCAUUUUCCAAAUAUUUUGUUCUUCUGCAGUACAUGGUAAAGAAUCAUCCUAAAGGGUGCUAGAUUUGAGAGAGAUUUCAGGGGCUGGGGAUUGCUUAGUGGAUAAACAUUAAUCAUGUAAGUGUGGGGACUAGAUUUUGAUUCCCAGAACCCACACAAAGCCUGGGGACCUUUUGGCCCCUUCUGUAACCCUAGGCCUCAGGAAGAGAUGAUGGGGGUAGGGGAGUGGGGAUUGGGGGCUCAAGGGGGGGGAAGUGCUGGCCAUAUAGACUAGCCACAAAGAUGAGGUCUGAGUUCAUUGAGAGACCCUGCUGCAGGAAAUAAAAUGGAGAGGGAUCAAGGAAGACACUCACUAUGAACCUUGGAUUGACACAUGCUUACAUCCCCAUGUGCACCAUACACAUGUGUGCACACAAUAUACAGAGAAAAAAAGAUUUUGCCUAUUUUGCCUAUAUAAAUACUUAUGCCUAUUUUGUCUGUUGUUCAUGCUAGCACAGUCCAUUUACUAAAUCUGUGUAUUUACAGAGGCACCGCCGACCCAGUGUCUAGCCUGGUGCGUGGGAGGCAUUGGUUAGUUCCCCUGGGCUUGUACACUCAUUCCUUCAGUGAUAACAGUGCCAUACGCGGAGUGUGGUGCUAAGUAACAUCUCAUACAUGAUCAAGAGUUUGGUCAAAAAAAAGUUUAAGUUUUUGCAACAUAAUGUUUGAAGUACCUUUUUUUUGUCUGUAUUUUGACCAGUUAUUCAUAUAAUUGCAGAUCUGGUUAAAGUGAGAUAGAUUGAAUUUAACUAACAGUAUUGUUGCGGUUAUGAUAUAAAGGAAGGAAUGGUAGCGUAAUCGUGGCAAAGUCAGUUUCUUUUAGUAGAAUGGUCUGUGCUCUGUCCUAAGUGUGGGAACACUGAGUAGCAGAGCGGCAGCUCCCACGGCUUGCCUUUUUCUGAUUCUAGAGUUAGGUUGUAAACUAUCUGGAGAGCGCUUAACUUGAACAUUUGUCUUUGAUUUCCUCCAUUAUCAUAAAAUGAAGUGACACAAUGUAGGCGUUGUCUUUGCCCACAUGCUCUGUGUCGUGCCUCAUAGCUGUCACCGUGAUGGUGAAGGCUUUUUGCAGCACCCUUGUGGAACCUUGUAGGUGCUCAGUAAAUGGUAUAUUGACACUUCUUCAUUUCUAUUACGUUGCGGCUUGUUAACUGUUACUACUUUCACCUUCAAGUGUGAAAGCUGUUGGCUCAUGAGGCUGUAUUGCUAGAUCCAGAUAGGAUAUGCGUUAUUGUUAUUGACAUAGCUCUUGUAAAGUAGAAAUGGGGAUAAGUAUUGCAUUUAUCUUCCAGGUCCCGUUUUACUUUUAAAUUCAGAAUUAUCUCUGCAGUCUGUUUAGGAAUAUUUAAAAAGUCCCCUUCAUAGCUCUGUUGUUUUAAGUAUUACUUCACUGAUUGCAGUACACCCUGUUCUUGUUCUUAAGCUUACUUUAAAAAUAUACUGUUGUUUGCAGAUGAGUGUUGUUGCUAGUGAGUACAGAUCACCCAUUCGUUGGUUUAGACUGGCGUAUUGAAGCAGUUUUGUUUGAGCGGGACUUUAGAGUAAGUGCUUGUCUUCGUAGAAGAUGUGGAGACAAGUCAUUUGGUCUGAACUUGGUACUUUAUUAACACUUUCACACACUUUAAAAAAAGAAGAAGAAGAAAAUGGACAUGUUGCCACAACUGAAAGAUCUUUUUUUCCAGAAUGUAUUUUACUGUAGCCUACCCAGGACUGUUUUUGCAGUAAUCUCCUCCCCCCCCCCCCCCCCCCCGGCACAGAUAUGUGAACUCCUAGUAAUUUAAAAAUUCUGAUAAAUGACACUUAAUGGCACGAUCCUGUGAAUAUUGAUAAGUACUAGAAAUUCAGUUGGUAAAGCUUCAAUUCCACUCCUGAGACCCUGUUUCUGAGUUUAGGUUAAAGGUUUGCCUGACUUCUGUAGUCUUUUUCUCAUGUCUCCUGAUAACUACGGUGAUUUCAAACUACAUUUUUCUUCUGCAUCAAAUCCAGGCAGCACUCUACAUCAUUAAAUAUUAAACCUUAUAUUCAAGAACAUUAUUCACUCAUUAAUAUUGCAUUGCAGCCUAAACUGCAUUGUUCAAAACAUUUUAGGAUGUUGUGCAAGUCUGUCAAAAUAUAUUAACAAACUUAGUCAUGUUGAACUGAACAAAAUAUGACAAAGUGUUUGCAUCACAGACGUGUCGUAGGUUUUUAUACGACCCAAGCAUUUUGUGUUGAGGUACUUGGAAAUUACUGUAAAGAUAAAGUGGAUUGCAGCAGAAGCCAGAUGGAAUGAAUAUUCAUCUUUCGUGUAGCAUCUGCUAUACAUCUUAAUGAAAUGUAUACUUAUUUUUAAUUUUUCUUCCUUGAUAAUUAUUUAUUUAGCAGAUUAUUUUAACUGGGACAUACAUAUGAGUUGGUGCCAUUUUAGCUUGGUGUAAGGUGAGAGUCUCACACUCAGGGAACACUUUUGAAAUCUCCAGAGUGUUCAUCAGCUGCAUGGAACCGAAAUGGGGCAGGCCUCCUUUGAAGGUGAAAUAGCCAGGGGACUUCUGAUAUUCGGCAAAGCAAGGAAGUGGCUGAGUUUAAGCCUUAGUCUUUGUGACAAAAUUUGUUCUGGAUUGCUGUGAACACAUCUGGUUUCUUGCUCUUCUUUAUACUGCUAGUUGUGGUGAGAAGCCAUAAGAUCCUCCUUCUGAAGGGAAUGGUGGGACCAUCUUUGUAUCUAAAAUCACUCCCUUUCCCAUUGUUACUGAAGGAAGUUAGGGCUCUUCCUAUUGCUUUACAGAGAAUUCCGGGGCUGGAAAGGGGAGACUAUUUAUAACUGAUGAGGGGAGGGGUUUUCAUAGAUGUGCUUUGGCGGUACUAAGCUUAGACGUUUUAUCUGAAAUGUGAUUCUAUUGAUUAUAUUAUUCUUCAGUGAUUAUUACCAUUUAAUGGGGGAGGUCAUUAUGAGAAUGGGGUUGCUUGUGAAAUAUCCAACAUUUAUUUUUUGAUGAAAUGUCGGUUAUGUGGAUCAGAAUUAAAACAGGCAGCCAAUGGGCUCAUCUUGAACACCUACAGCUGUCAUCUCAAGAAGGGUGGAAAUGGAUAUUGUGAAGUAAAUAAUGAAGGUGGCAUAGUGGAUUCCUGCUGGGCCAGAGCUAAAUUAUUCAUUUUGUUAGUUUAGCUAACAUGAUUCGUGCUGCGUGGGAUUUGAGUACUAUGUCAAUGACUAAUACUGCAUAAUUAAAAAGGCUCAGCUCCUCGGGCCUGGAAUGUAGUGGAAAUUUAGAAAUGAUUGUUAACAUCACAGAAACACACUUUGGUUUGUAUAAGUAGAUGGUGUUUACUUAGUCAUUCUGAAGUUUUUCAGAUGUAAGUGUGUGUGACACAUAGGCAGUGUGUCCCCACGAUAUUGUUAGUGCAGCUAUCUCCAGUCCCGUCCAGUCCCGUGGUUGGUCACACUCCACUGUGAUUUCUUCCUGAAAGGCUGCGGCGUAGCAAACGGUCCAUUUCAGAGGCCUGGUGAGCACAGUCUCCCUCGUGACAGCAUCACCAUUCCUUUUCUUCCCUAGGAGCUGUGUUGCUGAAGGGAAAGGGCAUUUGGAAAACUAAUUACUCAGUGUGGGGGACCACAUAUGCAUUAAUCUUUUCAAAGGCAACUUCAGCAUUUAUUUAUUAUAUUCUCAAUUUUGGUCAUUUUUGGGGCUAAACACAGAUAUAAACUGCUUUUAGUUUUUGUGUAAUGGUUCACACUAUAUCUUAUAGACACAGUAAUUUGACUAUACCUUUUGUUUUAUGCAUUUUUUUUCUUAGUGGGAUUUUUACAUACAGGGUUGUAUUAUGGAAUGGCUCUUUUUUUUUUUUUUAAGAUUUAUUUAUUAUUAUAUCUAAGUACACUGUAGCUGUCUUCAGAUGCACCAGAAGAGGGCAUUAGAUCUCAUUACGGAUGGUUGUGAGCCACCAUGUGGUUGCUGGGAUUUGAACUCAGGACCUUCGGAAGAGCAGUCGGUGCUCUUAACCACUGAGCCAUCUCUCCAGCCCAGGAAUGGCUCUUUUUUAACAGCCAUCUCAGCCUCAAGCAUCUAUGAAUGAAAAAGGGAGGCGAACACAUUAUUUGUCACCUGUUGCCAUGUGAUGUCAAUCACUGUGCUUGCCUCUGCAGUUGCAUGAGGAUAGAGUUAAAGUUCAGACCACAGGACAAUGCACUGAGAAAAUGCAUGCAGAUGGAAGGCUUUAGUUAUGGCCAUGAACAGCUAGCUGAAGCUAAACUUGGACUCAGAACUGAACAUGCUCUUAGAGUGUCCUAUUGGAGCAUUGGGUUUCAUACAGUUAAGAUCACAACACAGUGACCGCCAUUUGUUUUGAGUCAUAAAUCUUCAGUUUGAGUUCUGCCUCUUAUUUGCCUGUGUAAUUCUGAGCCAUUUGUUUAACUUUCCAUCUUUGUUUUCUUUGGGUCUGAAUUGGGAGUACAGCUCCCCUGAGGGAUUUUUAUGAGAAAUAAAUGAAAUUGUGUGUGUAAACGUGUUAAAAUAUGUGGGUGGCAUUAGAGGGUUCUUUGUAAGUAGCAGCUAUUAUAUUAGUAGACAGUGUUAUACAUGUAAAAAUGUACAUAAUAUGUAUGACUUACAAGUUUAAAAAAUCUCCCGUGCUACAGAGAACACAGUGAACAGAGUAGGGGGUGAAAGGACCACAGAGGUCUGGCGUCUUUUGUUAGAGUGCAUUUAAAUCAUGUUUUGUGAGAAGCUCAGAGCAAAGCCUGAAUGUUAAGCCUGCCUCCUGUAGGUUGAUUCCCUGUCUGCGUGCUGUAAUCUACACAUUAGACUUUAAAAACAAAACAAAACUUGAUUUGUACUAUAAUUCAGGCAACUUCUUUUUUUAUAAAGUCUUUGAUGUGAAUUCUGUAUAAUAAUUUUUAAUUCUUGAAGUACAUUUAUAGUUGAACUUUUGAGUCAGAGAUAGAAAUAUCAAGUGAGGAUAUAGUAUAAUUCCUGUAUCUGACAAUACUGUGUUGUAAACUAGGAUUUGUUAAGAGGUUAAACUAUAUGUUAAUUUUACACGCAGCAACAUUGGUAUUAAUAAUAAUAAUGGAGGAGUUAGAGAGAUGGCUCAGUGAUCAGAAGGUAUGCUGCUCCUGCAGAAGACCCACUCUUGGUUCCCAGCACUUAGGUCAGUUGGAUCACAAAUGCCUGUAACUCCAGCUGCAGGGGAUCCGACCCCUCCACAGGCACCUGCCCUCAAAUGCACAUACCCACAGAUAGGCGCAUGCACACAAUUAAAACUAAAUAAAUCUAAGAUAAUUAGGGUUGGAACGCUUUGGAAAAUGACAGUGAUGCUAAUGGCCGUGAUGGUAGCGUGGCUUCAUGGGUGUUUACUUAUUUCCAAAUUCAUAGAAAUGUUUAUAUUAAGUAAUGUGCAGCUCUUUUAUGUCGAUCACAUAUUAAGUGUCGUGGAGAAAGAGAAAUCCUGGUGAGGGAAUGCACUGGAGUUAUCCUCAAGAGGGUGUCAGCAAUUCCACUUCUUUCUUUUUAUCUGCAUACUUUCACCAUCUCUUUUCAUGUUUAAGGUGAAAAUUAAAAUAAAAUCCAGUAUAUGACUUGGUGUGGCAUUCAGAUCAAUUCAUUUUUAUUAGAAUUUGCUUUAUUUUUUUUUAAACAUGGUUUCAGAGGGACUACUAGAAAUAAAGUAUCUGCCAAGGAACAACUUGUUGGCUGAUGGAUAGUGUCAGGGAAGCCUGAAAAUUGACUGCUGUGGAGCAGUAGUGGGUGCCGGAGUUGUCGCUGUGCUUCCUCUGCGUGCCAAGGUGACUUUUACUAGAUGGGACAGUUGGCUUAGGGCCGGAUAGGCCUCGUCAGCACUUCUCACGUUUCCUGAGGGUGCGGAGUUAAGCAUUUGAGGCCAUCUUUCUUCAGAGGAGACUGAUGUGGAUUAGAGGCGCGUGUUUAACUAGUGAAUCAUGGGAUUGCACUGUGCCCGACGAUACAAAUUUGAUUCUUAAGAGGCUGCUUAUCCUUUGUUGAAGGGGAUUCAGGAUUAGUUUCGCAGUGUUCCUCUGGAGAGGGAUUGUCCUGUUUCCUUACACAGCUUCAUUAGACCUGCAGCUUUCCGUUGAUGGUCUGAAAGCCAUAUAGGUCUUUCCUUUCCUCACUUGGUUGUCCUGCAUCCUUAUGAUGUACCCCGCUGCUGCUCUGUCCCUGUGGAACAUUGCCUUUGUUUGAUUGUGGUCUACAGUUUGUUCUUUGUGUACACAGUGACUUCACAGUGCCUGUAAUACAUGGGGCCUGUGCUAGAGCACAAGUUUCUUUUUAGAAAAGUGUAGCCAAUCAAGAAAAGAUGAUAUACAAACACUAUUUUCAUAAGCAUUAGUUUUCAAUUUAGUCCACCCCCAUUGCCAGAUCAACCCAUCCAGUCUUUAUUGUGGUUUUAUUUUGUUUGAUUCAGGGUUUCAUUAUGUAGUUCAGGCUAUCUAUACUCAAGUUCCCUGUCCUCUUGCUUCUGCCUCUGCCUUCCACUUUUGGAAUCACGGGCUUGGGCCACCACAUCUGCCACCUGCACUCUAGCUUUUAAUUUAUUAACUUUAUUCUAAAGUUCUUUAAGUCACUCUUAAAAUGUAACGCUAUGAUUAAGACCUUUAAAAGUGGAAGGGUCCGUGGUCCAUUGGAGGUUUGUCACCAGUGUUGCUCAUUGUUGAACUGUUUUCUUUUCCCCCUUUCAUUUCCUGUCUCAUUUCCAAUAACAAUUUCUUCAAAAAGCCUGAGAGUGGGGUGAGCCAGUGGAUUUUUUUUUUGGUGUAGCAUAAGAAUACACAGAGGUGGACUCAGUUUUAAGGAUGCUCCUAAGAGUAUGUUUGGGGUCCAUCUCUGUCAACUAUUUAGGUGGGUGUGGUGUGGGGAGAUGGAAUGUGGAGACUUUCUCAGUUACAGGUCUGUUGGCUGAUCACACACUGCUGGCCACCCAAGGACAUGUUUCUUGGCUCUUCAGGUAUUUUCAGUGAGGGUGGUACAGAGGUGGGUCUCGGCCCAGAUGAAGUAGCAGAUGGAAAGAAGGAGAAGCCUCUUUGUCACAGACAGAAGGGGACAGCCCUCCUCAGCGGGAGCAGCUUCUUGCAGGAGGUCUCCACAGUAGCUCACAGGCCACCAUCUGUACAUUGGUACUUGUUGCCACUUGAUCAUGAGAUGCCACCAGCUUAAGAUGUAUCUUGAUUUCUUAUGUGCAUAUUGUGUGUGAUAAGAUAGCCUAAGUUCCAGAAGAAGACAAAGGAAGAGUUGGAAGAGAGGUGAUAAUUAAAUGACAGCUUUCUCUGAAGCCAAGGGCAGACUGGAGCCUGUAAAUUGAAAGGCUUCUUAUUUUUCUAGGCUGGAUUGAUGAGAAAAGAUGCACACGUAGUCAUAGAUUGUGACAAUUUUUAAAAUACAGAGAAAAAAAUUCUGAGGAUAAGAAGAAAAUUGUAGAAGUUUUAAGAUGGAAAGAAUAGAUAAUUUGUAAAGAAAACAGGAUCUGGGUACUAGGCUUUGCCUCUGCAGACCGGAAGCUGGAUGAUGUCCCAGCAGAAGGACCGAAAUCCUGGGGUUCUCUGAGAGUUUCCCUGUGAGGAAUUAGGGAAUGUAGUAAUACAAACAGCUGGUCCGUAGAAUCUAUGGAGACAAAGCAUACUGAUUAUUUUUACAGAGAAAUUUGAUGUAACGAUUAUUCAUGAGACAUUAAUAGUCAAAACAAAAGAAACAAAAUUUACCAGUCCUAAGGCAGUUCUGUUUACCAGAAUCAAAGUGAGCCACCUACCUACCUAUAUAGCUAACUUCCUAGUAACUGUCUAAAUUAUAAAUACAUCUCUAGGAAUGUUUCUAUUUUUUAGUGUAUCUCAAAUAUGCAAUCAAUAUAGCAUUCAUGGCAGAGGCAUGUUACAUCCUUUUCUUUCAUGUCAAGUCUUUGGAAUCUGGUGUAUGAGCUAUAGUCACUGCUUAAUUUGAACUAUUCUGGACUCACUGGCCUUGCCAGAGGACACAUAUGUGUCAUGCAAGACACAGAGCAUGAAGAGGUCCCCACCUCAGCCUAGGGAGCAAUGGAAGGAGGUGGAGCCUCUGAAGUGGGGGUACCUUCUGGUCGGUGGUCGUGUCUGAGGUGGUAGAAGGGAGGGUACUAGUGAUUUGAGGAGGGUACCAGUGGGUGGGACUAGUGACACUGGAGUGGCACCCAAGGAGCUUGGUCCUGCAAGGUUGAAUAAACUAACCUCUGCAUCCAGCUGGAUUGGAGCAAAGCCACCAGGCAGGUAUUCCUUCAGCCUUGCAGUUGCCCUCUGGCACUCCCUAAUGGAAACUCUACCAGCACCAACCAGCAAAUCACUAACAGUUUAGAAAGACCCAGUGUGAAGCAGGGUAUAGAUGACAGCUAGUAAGCUGAGAGUCACUGCUAAGCAACCAACAGCACAGUUCAUCUUGGAAGAAUAGUAAGAAAAGAAUGAAAGCUGAGACCCCUACCGAGAGGAAGAGAAGCACCUUGGUUCUUGACCGUUGAAGACAAACCUUUGAGGACCUAUAGUGGAGAAGUGCAUUUGAAACCACUCAACUCUUAACAGAAGGAUUGGUAGGAAAGGAAAAUAUCUGGUUUGCUGUCACCUGUUUUGCCAGUCUAGUACCUGCAUUUGUAAACUGUAGUGAAAACACUACUGGUGUUGAGAGUGGAGGCCAUUGAGGACCAGAGCAGAACAGCAAAGGGGCUUGUUGCUGUCCGGUGGAUGGCAGCCUGAUGGAACUAGGAACCAGGAGACAGAAAAGGAGACAGCAAACAAUACAGAGUAGAAGAAAACAGGUUGUUUCAGUUAUCAUGUUAGAGAUUGUGGCUGAGCAUUUCCCAUGUAGAGAUCAAGGCUGCUAUGCUACAUCAUGUUGACCCCUGUGUGUGGCAUGCACAGACAGACAGACAGAAGCACGUGUGCUCACAAACACACACUAGCUAUGUGUUAUUUAUACUGAAUGCAGUUAAGACCCAGUAAUUUGUUCCAAUCUUAAUAAAGGUUAAAAAUUAAUGGGUUAGCAAAGCUACAAACAAGGAAACAGGAGAAAGGUAAAAUCAAAGGUUUUUAGAGCAAAACAAAAGAAGCAGCCGAGUGACCUCAGGAGCAGUUUAUAAACAACAAUCAUUAGCCUUUUUGUGUCCCUCAUGUUAACUCAGUCUGCGAACCACAAAGUUAGAAAUCCAAAGAGCAGUUGAUUGAAAAAGGAGGGAAAGGGGUUGUACAGCUGUUCUUUCCCUACAGCACAGCUUGCUCUGUGCUGGCUAGAGGAGUGCGCAAUGCUUUGGUCUUCAACGUCUCCCACAGAGAAGGGUGGGCUUCGACUGUAUGAGUUUGCAGCCCACCCAUUCCACCUGCCAGCUCUUUAUCAGAGAGGCUUCUGCUUUGGAGGGUGAGAGGUUGUGUUUUAGUUCAGACUGGAGGUCUUUCAAAUAGAAACAAAGGGAGUAUUGACUGUGAUACCAAGACUUAGUGUGGCAGCUUUCACAUCGUACUUACCCUGGCAAAAUGUGUGUUUUGUGAAGAAAGAAAGAGAAGUACAAACAAUGAAAAAGGCAGAGUGUGUGUUUCAUAUACGUAGUGUAGUUAGCAUCUCUGAGAGCUUAGUGGGCUCUUUAUCAGAAGCUACUAGUGUUGGUCAGGAUGCUGCAUAGUCAUUUGCCCAUUGUUUACACUGCUCAUCUGUGUUGCAGCUGUACUGGAGGGCUUGAUGUUUGUCUAGGGAGGACUGUGAUAGGAAAGUGAUAUUCCCAGAGAUGAUUGUAUUUGCCCCAGUUCUCUUUCUCCAGCAUCAGCACAUACCCAGUGAGGAAGCUGCAGUAGGCAAGAUGCAAGGGAGCGGCAUCCAUGCAGUAAGCAAGCUGCUUAAUAGAGCUGAUUUAUAGGAGCAGGUUGUAUGUUUCUUCUCACAUCUUCUAUAACACUAGACUUUAGAAGUCAUGAUUCUGGGCAGUUUAAUGCUGUCUUUAUCUGCUCUGCAAUUAUCCAUCUGUAUUUUGACUAUUACGACAAUCAGUGUAUACUUUAAGCUAAAGUCAUGAUCAUGACUGAAGAUGCCUGUAAAUAAAUAUUCAUUUCAAGCUAGAAAAAGAAGUGGCUCUGGGUCAUUCUAGUACAGCAGUUUCCAGAGGACCCUUUCAUACAAUUCCUCAUGUGUGGUGACCCCAACCAUAAAAUUGUUUUGUUGCUACUUCAUAAUUAUAAUUUUCUGUUAUGAAUUAUAAUGUAAAUAUCUGGCAUGUAGGAUAUCUUUUGAUAGUGAACCCCAAAGGGGUCACGACCCACUCAUUGAGAACCACUGCUCUAGUAGAAGACAAAAGGGCUUUCGGUUGUGAUGGACCUUCGUCUUGUAUAAGAGCUUGGCUGUGAAUGGUGAGCAAAGAUGGGUGCAGUGGCUGGGUCCUGUGUUUGGUGACAAUACCUUGUGCCCUAAGAGCAGAAUACUUUCUAAAUAUAAAUGCAAAUAUUGUGCUUCUCAGCAGAGUAGAUAUUUGAAUUUAAGACGCUCCCAGGAGCUGCAGAGCAGGUGGCUCUUUCUUCCCAAAUGAAAACUGAAAUAGGGAGUUCAGGUAACAUAAUGCAUCCUGUUUUAUGGGAGGCAGCCAUCUGGAAGGGAGGCAUGGUAAGUGCUCAGAGGGUGGCCACAGAGAACUUCAGUUACAGGUGUCAGCGUCUAGUUGGGGGCAGAGUUUCCUGUGUUUUUGUUUUUGCAUCAUUUUGGAGCUAAGCUGGCAAAUGUCCAGCUUUGUGCAAGUUAAAAUAAAAUAACUUAAAAAAAAAAAGAAUAUUCUUGUGAAAAGUAAGGUGCACUAGUCAGCCCUCCAUUGUACUCUAGGAGCCUGAGGCCACAGCUGGUAAGACUCAGAACUUUGGAGGAGCCAGCCCAUGACUGGUUAGCCAUGUUGCUUUGGGGAGACAGCACAGCAUGAUGGGAUUGUGACCAAAAAGAGCUCUUCACUAAUCAUGGACCAGGAAGGCAGAGAGAGGGAAGAAGCGGCAUGUCCUAGUCCCCAUUUGAGGACAUGUUCCACAGUGAUCUCCAGGACUGUCCCUAGGUUCUGCCUCUUAGAGUUUCUGUCAACUGGGAACAGUGUGUGGAGACUUAAGCUUUUACUCUAAGGGCCUUUGGAGACGUGUAAGAUCCAACUUUAACAGAAAGAAACUUGGAUUGUCAAGUCACAGUGCUGUUUGAAAUAAUACAUCGAGACAGAGGACCAGAUAGAUGUCUUCAUCUUCUUGGUUUCUCUAGAACCAGGUCUCAGUGCUGCUAGAUCUAUCAGUUGGUUUUUAAGACUGUCUCUCUGACUCUGUUUUUCUCUGUCUCUCUGUCUCUCUAUCUCUGUUUCUUUCACACUUACUCACUCACUCUCACUGUAAGUUUUGGUUUGAUACAGUUUCUUCUUUCAUUGGAAAUAUGACAGUCUGCUCAGGGUUGUCAUGAAAGUUGGAAGGCUCACCCCUACAAGUGUGAUCUGUACCCGACACAUGCUAAGCAGGAUAAAAUGCCACUUCUGUCUGUCACACAUACAGAUAUUAUAUAUGAACUUAGCAGAGCUAUAUUAAUGUGCAUUCAUCUACAUGUAUGUGUUUUGGGAUAUUAAUCCAUACACAUUUCCUUCCAGGAUUUGAAAUGGUUUGAGUUGAAUGCUAAGCUUGUAUAAUUUUUUAUUUGUAAAGUCUUAUAAAUGGAAAACUAUACGCCUGUUCUGUCAUUAUUUUUAAUAGUCUAAUAAUUAGUUCAUUGAACUACCUAGCUCAGCUUUUCUGUCUAAAGGUGGAUGGUAAACAGAAUUUUCAGUGCUAGUUCAGCAUGUUCUAACAAAAUAUGAUACAUUAAAAUGAAAUUUAUCCUUACUAUUAAAAGUGACCUGUGGGUUGCCGCCAUGCGUUUCUUUCUGUGCUUCAGUCUUUUGGAGUCAGCCACAUUGCAGUGUUUUGUAGAUCUUGUCUGUGUGUAAUGGUCGGAGUUCAAUUUUAGAUAAGUCAUUCAGUCAGUUUAUCUCUAACAAUUAACAUUUUCCCACUUAUUCUCACCCAUUAUCUGAGGCUCUUAUCUACUUUCUCCAGAAGUAGAAUGGCUUUAUAUAUUAAAUUAUAAAGUAAUUUGCUAAGCUGGAGUUGUAUAGAAUUACUUAGUGUCUACCUGUAUACAACAAGUUUGACUAUUUGGGAAUGACCAAAUGAGCAAGAUUCAGUGGUAUCAAGAGUCAGACCACAUUGGACAACCAGUGACAUAUAUUUGAUGUUGGAAAAACAUAUAAGAGCGUGUCUUAAAGUAACUCUGAACCACGGGGGAGGUGCUACAAUACAAAUAAUUUCAGUUGGGAGCUGGUGUGCACCUCCUCUCCCCCUAGCCUAGGACCUCAGCUUGGUAGGCAAACACCCUUGAUUCUCUGGGGUCUGUUCCAACCUUGUCUACUUCUCGUUUUGAGCAAGGUCUCUCUAAAUUCAAAGCCUGACUUUGAACUUUUAUUCUGUGACCCAGGCAAGGCCUUGAGCUUUAUACUCUUGAGCCCCUACACCUCAGUGGCUGGGGUUACAGGUGCAUACCCAGGCUCCAGGAGGGAGAGAGCUUUCCAGGGGGUUUAAGAAACAUGGCUUUGUAAAUCGGGCCAUUGUGUUUCUUUUCCUCUGGUGUAUUCCUUGAGUUUUUCUUUUGUUCAAAGUGGAGGGAAUAAUGCUUUUCUUCAUGGAGUGUGAUGGAAUUUGAUAUAUAAAAAAUGCUUAGCUAAAGUUAUUUUUAAAAUCCCCUUUCCACUUCCUUAAAACCUUUAACUUCUUGAGAAGGCAAUAAAGCUGGGUGAUUUUACCCUAGUAUCAUGUUAUAGAGAACUGGAUUUUUAUACCAGAUAUGUGAGUUGAAUGUAAUGAGUAAUUUUUUUUUUUGAUUUUACUUAAAACGGACAUUCAAUAAUAUUCAUUAUAAGAGACUUGACUGGUGUUUAGAAACUCAUUUUGCUGGUCUAUCUUAAGUCUCUCACCUGAUUGAGAAUAUGCAAAGAAAAGAACUAAGUUGCUGGGGCUGGAGGUGUAGGGCAGCACCAACUGGUAUUUGUUUCAUUAAGCUCAGGCAAGCUAUCCAAUUACUUAAUGCAAAUAGGAAAAGUUUACACUAAACUCCUACUUCUUUGCUGAAAACUCUAGAGAAUUCAAAUGAGGAGAGAUAUGUAUUUAAAAGAAGGAAAUUUAAAUGAAACUUAAAUCAGGGGCUUAAUGUAGAAUAAUAUUAGACCAGGAGAUCUGAAGUAAUAAGUGAGAAAUGCCAGUAAAUAAAAGGGGGCUGUAUUUGCUCAGAUGCUUGUUCUGUUUAGUUUUGUUUUGAGAUAAUUCUUAAAUCAUCAGAGACCCAAGUUAUAAAGAAAGCCUCAUUUUUAUCCCACCAACGGGCGAGUAAUGUGCCGCCUUGCCUUGCCUUGCCUUGCCUUGCCUUGCCUUGCCUUGCCUUGCCUUGCCUUGCCUUGCCUUGCCUUGCCUUGCCUUGCCUUGCCUUGCCUUGCCAACGUGGACUUGACUCUUCUGAGAGUUUGUGGCACAGCAGCGCUUCUCUCUGACCCUACAGUUCCAUGUGGCUUUGGUGUUCCCAGAUAUCCAGUUGGGUUGUCUUCCUGGGGACGGGGUGGGCAGAGAAGAGGUUGUGGGACAACUGCCUUUCUAGUGGUCACUGAAGUGUGUGUGUGUGCGCGCGCCCAUGUGUGCUCUGUGUGUGUGUGUAUUGCAGGGUGGUGGAGAGGCGAUAGAAGACAAGGGGGCAGAGAAGAUGCUCCACAGAGACGUGGGCUCACAGAGAAGCAGGCGCUUCUAAACAUGUUAGUAGCUUUUCUUUGUAAAGUGUUGUACUUUGUGACAUGAUUUAAAUGAGUGAGUGAAAGAGGGCUUUUAUCUGAGGAAGGAAAGGGUGUCAAUGAAAGGUUUUGGUGGAAGGUUUGAGAAAGGGCCCACAGAAAUUAAACUCUUCCAAUAUGGUGCCAUCACUUCUAAAGGUAUACCAUUUAUCUGAAAUUCCGCCUUUUAAAAUAAUUUGAAAUGGCCGGACAGUGGUGGUACACUCCUUUAAUCCCAGCACUUUGGAGGCAGAGGCAGGUGGAUUUUUGAGUUCAAAGCCAGCCUGGUCUACAAAGUGAGUUCUAGAACAGCCAAGGCUACAUAGAGAAAUCCUGUCUUGAAAAAAUAAAAACAAGCAAACAAACAAACAAAAAAAUGAAAUAAAACAGUCUUUGCAGAGGUGAUUUUAAAUGUGUGUGACAUUCUGAAGGCUGUCACCGAAGUGCAAUUGAAGGAAAUUCUUUCUGAGUGUUUCUCAGCCCCUUGAUGUUCCUAUGCCUCAGUCACGUUACUUCCCUCACCCAUGUGGCACUAUAGCAACCUUAUUUAAAAAAAUACCUCAAACAAAAAAUUAUCAUUUAUCAUUAAGCUACAUAAAGGCAGAGACCGUGGUUCCUACUUCAUUCUCAGAGUUUGGAGCACUCUCUCUCACUCAAUGAUUAUCGAAUGAAUUAGUGAAUAUAACAUUUACUUUUUACCUUAUGUUAUAUACUAGAACUCAGAAUCCUAGAAGAAAUUAUCUACUAAAUGGAAAUGAUAAUAUUAUAACAUUUAGAGCAAAUACCUUCCUUUCAUUUAUCCCCUUUAAGAUAAAUGGAGAAUAAUAUAUUAAGACAUGGUGUUUGCAAGCAUUUACCUGUAUGGGAUUCCCUUUUACUUUAAAGCCAAGAAAAUGGAUCUUUGUUAGAUGACCCUACCCAAACAUUCGUAGACCAUGAGGGUCUGGGUCCCACUGCCAGCUGCCCUAAGUGUACAAAGAAGGCUUUCCUAAGCACUCGGUGCACAACACAGGCAUUUCCCCAUGCAGUUCUCAUUGUAAGAAGAAGCAAACGUAAGACAUGUAUUAGGAUAGAAAAGUGAUUAUUCUUGUAGCUAGUUUGAACCAGUCUGUCUUGAAUCUCUAAGAUUCAAAGAGCUAUAAGUUGAUGUUCCCAGAUGUUGACCCCCUUCUCCUGUAGGCCAUUUAGUGUAGCCUGGAUAUGCCAGGCAUGCACUGAGUACAGUGUGUUGGUGAGACCUUUUAGGGUGCAGCUUGUUUUCUCAGCUGCUUCUUUUAUCUCCAAGUCUUUUGUUUUCUGUAGCAUUUGGUUCAUUUUUAUCUGUGGUAGGAUUUGCCAGCCAUUCAUUCAUUUCACAUACAUUUAACAAAUGUUUGAGCAUCUACUCUGGACCAGGCAGCUGUAAGAUAUGAUAGCCACAGAAAUAGACAGACCAAGCCCUUCCUGUUUUUGAGCUUACAGGAAAGUUAGAAUGAAUCCUUUGAAAAAGCAGGACUCCCCAGCCACAAACCCUUUGAUCUACAAUCUAUCCUGCCUGCAAGAUGUGCUGGGGCCAUGAAGGUACAGAACUUGUGGGAGUGGCCAGUGAGUGAAUGACUGGUCUAAGUUGAGAUACAUUCCACAAAAGGAAAGCCAAUGCCCAACACUGUCUUUAUGACCGAGAAAAGGAGUCUCAGAGACCUGUGUUACGAAAAA